UUUUUUUUUUUUUUUUUUUUUUUGGUCUUUUUGUUUUUGCAGGGCCGUACCCGUGGCAUAUGGAGCAGCCCAAGAAAUAGCAAAAAGACAAAAAAAAAAAAAAAAAAAAAAAAAAAAAGACCAUUAAUAAUACAUGACAAUGUUCACAAGGUGAUGUUAAGUGCUAAAAGUUCAAAACCGAAAGUACAAUGACAAGGGUUGGUGAGAAAGCGAGGUAACAGGAAGAGUCCUAAGGCAGUGAUGAGAGUGUAAAUGGCUACAAACACUCAGAAAAGCGGUUUGGCAUCAUCUCCUGAACUUGUAGAUAUGCAGCCUCCAACUGAUGUCUGCAAGCUGAUAUCAGAACAGAACCUGCACUCCUAGCAGUUACACAAUGGAAAUGAGGGCACGUAUGCACUGAAAGAUCUAUUAAAAGAAUGUUCAUAACAGCAUUAUUCGAAAUAGGCCCAACCUGGAAAAGCCCAAACAUCCAUCAAAAAUAGUGUGGAUAAACAGAUUAUGGUAACAGAACAUUGUAAAUCAACUAUAAUAGAAAAAUAAAAAUCUUUUAGAAAAUAGAUUAUGGUAGAUUCAUACAAUGGGGAAAAAAAAACCCUCAGUGCAAAUGCAUAAACUCUACUCACAACAGGGCUGAAUCUCACAAAUGUAAUGCUGAGAAAAAGAAAACAGACACAAAAGAGUAUAUACAAUAUGCCUCUAAUUAUAAACAGAAGCCUAAUAAUAGACAAAAGUAAUUUAUGAUAGACGACAGAAUAUUCUUGUCAUCUAUCACAAGGGAGAGGGUACACAUUUGUAGGGGGCUUGAACAGAGGUUUCAGAGGGGCUAGUAACAGUCCAGUUCUUUACCUGGGGGAUCGUUACAUAGCCAUUUUCAAUUAGCCACAAUUUAUCAAUUUGUACACUUUUCAGUGCACAUGUCAUAUCUUGAUUUUUUUAAAUGCUUUAAAAUGUAUAUUAUGGUCCAAAUUUGGCUGACGAAAGAAUGAGAUCGUAUGUGUGAGUGUAUCAGAAAAGCAACCAACAGAACUACAUGAAAAUCUUGAGAAAGUAGAGUUCCCACUGUACCUCAGUGGUUAAUGAAUCCAACUAGGAACCAUGAGAUUGCAG
rnacentral:lncRNA from 1 species